rnacentral:lncRNA from 1 species
GCCCAGGAGGAUCCUGAUCACCAUGUGAGCAGUGAAUGGAGGAAGGGGUCAGUGCCUGCCCAUGUGCCAUCCUCGCCCACUAGCAACCUCCUUGGCACUGUGACAGGCCUCUCCACCCGCACCUGGCUUUGUGUCCACUGUAAAAUGCCAAUUCCGUUGCUGGAAUAAGAGAACCAGGACUUCCUCCUGCACCCUUUUCCUGCAAAGAUUUGGACCAUAUGACGGAACGGUUGAUGUCACCCCCUUCACCUGGGUCUUUAAAAACUUCUCCCUUCCUCAAGGUCUUUGAGAACUCCCA